rnacentral:lncRNA from 1 species
UUUUUAAAAACAUCUUCUCCUCUAUACAACAAAAUUAUUUUCUGUACAUUCAGGUCAUAAUUGGUAAAUGAUCAUUAUUUUCUUGAUUAAUGUUUAGGUUUUAAGAUGCUUUCUUAGACUAAAUAGCACCUGAGUGCCAAGGCACCUGGAGGGUACUGAGCCACAGAAUCAGCAAUGUGAGCAACAUCUUCUUGAUCUGCCUCUAAUUUCUUGGCAAAUGUUGGAGGUUGAAAGUGAGAGUGGAGAGGCAUCAACAGUGUUUAAUCUUUAAGCCUUCCUCUCUGUAAAGUUAUAAUGAUAAUUUUUAGCAUUUUUUAAUGGAAUCUAUUAAUUCUCAGAGGUAGCUCCUGCUUCUGCAUCAUGAAGGAAGUUGCACUUGUUCCCACAGAAACAGGAUAUCAUUGACCACAUCUGACAUGACAACACAGCAAGGAAAUGGAGCACCUUUGAACUGCAACAUAUCAUCACCCGGAGCUCGACAGAAACCCAGGCCCUCAGCUAUCCCCAUCCCCUGCUCUCCAGCCAAGACCCGGGGAGUCAGCACCUGCAUUUUCGCAAGCUCCCCAGGUGGUUUGUAGCACACUGAAGUGCCAGUAGCACUGUCUUUCAGAACUAUGCCAAGGCCAGACAGUGGCAGGGACUCAACCACACUCUGCCCCACAUGAGGAGGUUGACAGAACGCAGAGAGGGCCCAGGGACGAGGCCCAGGCCAGGCAUUUGGGGAAACACAACAGGAGGCACAGCCCAGGGGGCUGAGUCUGUGCCCAGCGACCUGGCUGGAAAGCAAUCCCAAAUCUCUCCCGCUCUGAGGACUCUGUGUGGUUAGAAAUAAUCUCUGGAAGCCAAAGGGCUAAGUGACACGUUCCCUGUAUGCCUGUCUGGCUAUCAGGGACGUCUCUUUGUUGUGAAUUCUGUCACUUCCUGUCAAAAGAGGGCUUUGGAACUGAAGUUACUCUUGAGAGCAUCAGGUAAAAUUUUUGAAUUAAAAUAAAACCAGUUGGCCAGGCGCAGUGGCUCACGCCUGUAAUCCCAGCACUUUGGGAGGCCGAGGCGGGCGGAUCACUUGAGGUCAGGAGUUUGAGACCACCCUGGCCAACAUGGCGAAACCCCCUCUCUACUAAAAAUACAAAAGUUAGCCGGCAUGGUAGCUCAUGCCUGUAAUCCCAGCUACUUGGGAGGCUGAGGCAGGAGAAUCGCUUGCACCGAGGAGGCGGAGUUUGCAGUGAGCCGAGAUCGCGACACUGCACUCCAGCCUGGCGACGGAAUGACACUCCGUCUCAAAAAUAAAUAAAUAAAACCAGUUGACAAAGGAAGCUGUGCUGAAGUAAUAGAGAUUUUAUAAUAGGAAGGAGCACAUGGGAGGGCUCCUGACUUCUUGAGACGCGACUGUCACCGAGGAAUAGGCGGGACGUUAUCAGAGGCGGAGCCCCUGCUGGCUACUCCAAGAGCCAGGUCUACCUCAAAUCCCGAACUCACAAACCUACUAGUGAGUGCUGAGCACUCCUCCAGCAGCCUCACACAGGGAGAUGCCAGGAAGAACCAACAAGCCCACUCCAUCCUGGUGGAAAUAGCUGUUAUUCCACUGGUAAUCCAUUUAGACCCGAAAAAAGGAAAAUAACAGAGGACCGUGAAUAGAACGAUUCUUCAGCAGGUUCAGAAUCUCCAACAUUCUGCUACAGCCGAGAUAAAUAAACUGAAGUUCUGCUGAACAAGAAAGGAUGUCAGUACAACCUAAAAUCAUUUGCCAGAAAAUAUGAAAAUACUGAAUCCUUCCUUUUCUGGAGGGUGGUCUUGAAGUCUCUCACCAGAAGAACACAUACUCGAAGCGGGGAAAAUGGAGCCCACUGAGCAAUGCAAGUUGGGCUCCAUUGUCAGAGUAACCACACCUGCAGAAUGGGACAUGCUUUGUUUGCCCUAACCCAAGGCCAGAUUUCUUUUUAGUUAGAAAAAAAAAAUGGUUUUAAGUAAGAAUGUUGUGCAAGGGAUAGAGUGGCGGGAAUCGUAGAAGAAGAUCACGUCCAACAACCACAGUGCACCACAAGUUCUUGGAACCUGCUGCUGCCUUCAUAUUUGGCACUAACCAGCCUAUUGUCCUGUCUAGACAAGUGCUACAGGCUGAGUAAACAGGGAAUUGCUGCAUAAAGCCUCUAUUCAUCCAGAAUGAAAAUGUGUCAAUGUGCAGCCUUUUAGAGUCCAAGGGGGCCUUUGUACAGAGAAAGAACUGUUUACAGUCACUUUGGUUUUCAAUUAGUAGUCACUUAUUAAUGUUACAAAAUUUAAAACCCAUCUGCCUUAAAUUUUAAGUGCAAUUUACAAGACAUUUGAUUUUAUUUGAAAUUCUAAUAAAAUAUGAGUCACUUUUAGUUAUUAUUUUAUUAAUACCUGAUUAACUUAAGCUAAACAGGCUAAAUUCCUUUUAAUAGCCAUUCCCAUUUACAAAGUUAGUUAAUUCCCCAAGUUCUUAGUCAUUUCCAUAAGCAUUUUAACUAUAUUUGCAAAUUUCACAUAUUUAAGGUUCUCUUCUAGGAGUUCAAAUGCUUAAAGGGUAAACUAAACAUUCCUUACAAGCAAUACAAUUUUAUAAUCUAAUAAAUUAGACUACAGAUAGAUAGAUAUUGAUAUAGAUAUAUUAAUGCACCACAUGACCACAUACACCAAUGAUGUUUGUCCCAUAAGAUUAAAAUGGAGUUGAAAAAUUCCUAUUGCCUAGUAAUAUAAUAGCCAUCGUAAUGUCAUAAGGCAACACAUUACUCAUGUAUUUGUGGUGAUGCUGGUGUAAACAAACCUACCGAGCUGCCAGUCCUAUAAAAGUCUAGCACAUACAAUUCUGUACAGUGCAUAAUACUUGAUAAUGUUAAUAAAUGGCUGUUACUGAUUUACGUAUUUGCUAUAUUUCUUCUGCUAAUUUAGAGUGUACUCUUUCUACUCAGAAAAAUAAAAAACUUAACUGUAAAACAGCUUCACACAGGUCCCUCAAGAGGUAUCCAGAAGUUGUUGUUAUCAUAGGAGAUGACAGCUCUAUGUGUGUUAUUGCCCCCAAAGACUUUCCAGUGGGACAAGAUGUGGAGGUAGAAGACCGUGAGAUUGAUGACCCUGACCCUGUGUAGGCCUAGGCUAAUU